rnacentral:misc_RNA from 1 species
GAUGAAGAACGUAGCGAAAUGCGAUACGUAGUGUGAAUUGCAGAAUUCAGUGAAUCAUCGAAUCUUUGAACGCACAUUGCGCCCUUUGGUAUUCCAAAGGGCAUGCCUGUUCGAGCGUCAUUUGUACCCUCAAGCUUUGCUUGGUGUUGGGCGUCUUGUCUCCAGUCCGCUGGAGACUCGCCUUAAAGUCAUUGGCAGCCGGCCUACUGGUUUCGGAGCGCAGCACAAGUCGCACUCUUUUCCAGCCAAGGUCAGUGUCCAACAAGCCUUUUUUCAACUUUUGACCUCGGAUCAGGUAGGGAUACCCGCUGAACUUAAGCAUAUCAAAAGCGGAGGA